rnacentral:rRNA from 1 species
GAUGAACGCUGGCGGCGUGCUUAACACAUGCAAGUCGAACGAAGCAUUUGCGACAGAUUUUUUCGGAAUGAAGUUGCUUAUGACUGAGUGGCGGACGGGUGAGUAACGCGUGGGUAACCUGCCUUGUACUGGGGGAUAGCAGCUGGAAACGGCUGGUAAUACCGCAUAAGCGCACAAUGUUGCAUGACAUGGUGUGAAAAACUCCGGUGGUAUAAGAUGGACCCGCGUCUGAUUAGCUAGUUGGUGAGAUAACAGCCCACCAAGGCGACGAUCAGUAGCCGACCUGAGAGGGUGACCGGCCACAUUGGGACUACGGCACGGACCAGACUCGUACGGGGGGCAGCAGUGGGGAAUAUUGCACAAUGGAGGAAACUCUGAUGCAGCGACGCCGCGUGAGUGAAGAAGUGAUUCGUUAUGUAAAGCUCUAUCAGAAGAGAAGAUAGUGACGGUACCUGACUAAGAAGCACCGGCUAAAUACGUG